UACGAAGGGGGCUAGCGUUGUUCGGAAUCACUGGGCGUAAAGCGCGCGUAGGCGGAUCGUUAAGUCAGGGGUGAAAUCCCGAGGCUCAACCUCGGAACUGCCUUUGAUACUGGCGAUCUGGAGUCCGGGAGAGGUGAGUGGAACUCCUAGUGUAGAGGUGAAAUUCGUAGAUAUUAGGAAGAACACCAGUGGCGAAGGCGGCUCACUGGCCCGGUACUGACGCUGAUGCGCGAAAGCGUGGGGAGCAAACAGGG
rnacentral:rRNA from 1 species